rnacentral:ncRNA from 1 species
CGUUCAGGACGACCUGUAGCGGUUUUUUCAUUACACAUUGGGGACGGCCCCU